rnacentral:rRNA from 1 species
GACGAACGAUGGCGGCGUGCCUAAUACAUGCAAGUAGGACGCAGUUGCGAACGGGUGAGUAACUCGUAGGUAACUACCUAUUAGAGGGGGAUAACUAUUGGAAACGAUAGCUAAUACCGCAUACUAGUCGAUUGACAUGCGUUGUAUUAGCUAGUAGGUAGGGGAAUGGCCUACCUAGGCAACGAUACAUAGCCGACCUGCGAGGAUGAUCGGCCAACAUGAGACUGAGACACGGCCCAGACUCAGUAGGGAGGCAGCAGGAGGGAAUUUUCGGCAAUGGGGGUAACCCUGACCGAUCAACGCCGCGUGAUUGAAGAAGGUUUUCGGAUCGGAAAGCUCUGUUGUUAAGGAAGCGGUACUUAACCAGAAAUGGACGGCUAACUACAUGCCAGCAGCCGCGGUAAUUC